rnacentral:rRNA from 1 species
UACGAGGGGGGCAAAUGUUGUUCGGAAUCACUGGGCGUAAAGGGAGCGUAGGCGGGCUUUUAAGUCAGGUGUUUAAUCCCGGGGCCCAACCCCGGACAGGCACUUGAAACUGGGAAUCUUGAAUAGUGGAGAGGGAUGCGGAAUUCCAGGUGUAGCGGUGAAAUGCGUAGAUAUCUGGAGGAACACCGGUGGCGAAGGCGGCAUCCUGGACCAACACUGACGCUGAGGAGCGAAAGCCAGGGGAGCAAACGGG